CCUACGGGAGGCAGCAGUGGGGAAUAUUGCACAAUGGGGGAAACCCUGAUGCAGCGACGCCGCGUGAGUGAAGAAGUAUCUCGGUACGUAAAGCCCUAUCAGCAGGGAAGAAAAUGACGGUACCUGACUAAGAAGCCCCGGCUAACUACGUGCCAGCAGCCGCGGCAAUACGUAGGGGGCAAGCGUUAUCCGGAUUUACUGGGUGUAAAGGGAGCGUAGACGGGAGCACAAGUCUGGAGUGAAAAGCCGGGGCUUAACCCCGGAACGGCCUUUGAAACUGGGCGGCUGGAGUGCGUGAGGGGUAAGCGGAAUGCGUGGUGUAGCGGUGAAAUGCAUAGAUAUUAGGAAGAACACCGGUGGCGAAGGCAGCUUACUGG
rnacentral:rRNA from 1 species